CAGCUCUCCGAGUAGUGUGGACGUUUAUUGGGCCCAAAGCAUCCGUAGCUUGCUAGAUAAGUCCUCUGUUAAAUCCACCGAUUCAAUCGUUGGAUUGCGGGGGAUACUGUUUGGCUAGGGGACGGGAGAGGUCGACGGUAUUUCCGGGGUAGGGGUGAAAUCCUAUAAUCCCGGGAGGACCACCAGUGGCGAAGGCUGUCGACUAGAACGCGCCCGACGGUGAGGGAUGAAAGCUGGGGGAGCGAACCGGAUUAGAUACCCGAGUAGUCC
rnacentral:rRNA from 1 species